AGAGGCUGAGGUGAAAGAAUUGCUUGAGCCCAGGAGUUUGAGGCUGCAGUGAGCUAUGAUUUUACUGCUGUACUCUUUCUGUCAGUCAGGCUGGAGUGCGGUGGUGUGAUCACAGCUCACUAUAGCCUCAAACUCCAAACUCCCUGGCGCAGGAGAUCCUUCCAUCUCAGCCUCCUGAGUAGCUGGGGUUACAGGCACAUGCCACCAUAUCCAGCUAAUUUUUGUAGAGAUGAGAUUUUGCCAUGUUGCCCGGGCUUGCCAAAACCUGAAAGAUGACUCUGCUGGCUCCUUCUUCAUGACCUGCAGCAGACGAGUUAAUAAGCCCCUCUUCCCAACACACACCAAACUCCUGUCGGUGUUGAGGACAGCUUCUACCUCAGGGAGCAUUAUUGCUCCGGGGACUCUUCAGGUCUUGGUGUUUGAGCAGUGGUGGAAGAGAGUCCACUGUGGCCAGCAUCUGUGAAGUUGGGAAUUGCAGAGGCCGAGGCGGGUGGGUCAUGAGGUCAAGAGAUCGAGACCAUCCUGGUCAACAUGGUGAAACCCUGUCUCUACUAAAAAUACAAAAAUUAGCUGGGCAUGGUGGUGCACACCUGUAGUCCCAGCUAUUCGGGAGGCUGAGGCAGGAGAAUUGCUUGAACCCAGGAGGCAGAGGUUGUGGUGAGCCGAGAUCACUCCAUUGCACUCCAGCCUGGGUAACAAGAGUGAAACUCUGUCUCAAAAAAAAAAAAACUGCGAUACAGUUUUCCAAACAUUUCCAUCAGCAUGUGUGGGAGUGCCAGUUGCUCCACAUCCUUGCCAACACAAAUCCUUUUCAAUUUUAGCCAUUCGAUGCAUCAGCAGAGAGCCAUCGCGUUUUUAGGACUUCGUUUUUUGAGACAGUGUCUCGCUCUGUCAACCGGUAUGAAGUGCAGUGAUCAUGGCUCACUGUAAUCUUGAACUUCAAGGCUCAAGACAUCCUCCCAUUUCAGCCUCCAGGGCAGCUAGGACUGCAAGCAUGUGCCACUGCACCCAGCUAACUUAAGAAAAAAUUUUUUUUUUUGUAGAGACGGAGUCUUGAUAUGUUAUCCAGGCUGGUCUUGAACUCCUAGCUUCAAGCAAUCCUGUCGCCUUGACCUCCCAAAGUGCUGGGAUUACAGGCAUGAUUCACCACACCUGGCCCAUCUUUAGGGCUUUUUUUAAACAGCAGUUUCAUUGUUAUCCUAACACACGCAAGGUAAACUCAGGAAGAAGGAGGAAUGGUAUGUCCUUGAGGGUCAGUGGUCAUGUUUGUGCCUAUGCAGCCUGGCUGUGGGCCUCAUGAGGAAGCCCUGGCAGGUAAUACUGGGUAAUUAUAUGAUAAAGCAAAGGCGAUGGGGUCAGACAGACCUCAGUAUAGGUUCCAGAUCUCCCAAGCCACUAGAC
rnacentral:lncRNA from 1 species